rnacentral:rRNA from 1 species
AUUGAACGCUGGCGGCAGGCCUAACACAUGCAAGUCGAACGAGUGGCGGACGGGUGAGUAAUGUCUGGGAAACUGCCUGAUGGAGGGGGAUAACUACUGGAAACGGUAGCUAAUACCGAAUACAAUCAGAUGUGGCCAGAUGGGAUUAGCGAGUUGGGGGGGUAACGGCUCACAAAGGCGACGAUCCCUAGCUGUGCUGUGCGGAUGACCGGCCACACUGGAACUGGUACACGGCCCAGCCUCCGACGGUAGGCAUCAUUUGGGAAUAUUGCACAAUGGGCGCAAGCCUGAUGCAGCCAUGCCGCGUGUAUGAAGAAGGCCUUCGGGUUGUAAAGUACUUUCAGCGGGGAGGCGUUACCCGCAGAAGAAGCACCGGCUAACUCCGUGCCAGCAGCCGCGGUAAUUC